UUCUGCUUAAAAUUUAAAUCAAUUGCAUUUUUUUCUCUUAUUCUGGUGCCUAUAGAAAAAUACAAUGAAUUGCUAAAAAGAAGGCAAUAGUUCAAACUGCAAUAGCUGUAGUGUUGAAUAUAGAUUUUAGAUCUGUCGCUGCAAGAUAGAUUUGUAUGUCAUAGUCCUAAUUUUCAGCUGUGGUGCCUUCAGGCAACUGCACUGACAUUAGAUAUAUUACACAAAAUGCAAGUUAAUGCAGAAAAUUUGCUUUUAUAUAUUUGCAAAGAAUUUUGAAGAUGAAAGAGAUGCACAUGCCAGAGCUGAUUGAGUUUUUCUUGAGGUCUGUAGAGAGGGUCCUGGUCCAGGAGCUGCUGGAUCAGGUCUGAAUGAAUGCAGCAGAACUUUGCUUACAGACUGAAUCUAUCUGGAAAGGAAUGACUGCCUGUUAGCACUAGGAAGUUAUUCACAGACAGCACGUGCUUUCCUCUAAGGAGGAUCUGCGGUGAGGAAUGAGUCAUGCACUGUGAGUCUUCCCUGUGUGAAUGCCAGGACCUUGGUGCCACUCUCUGCUGACUCCAUCAGAUGCGAUGACCAUCCCUGCUGUCAUCCCAUGCCACGUGUAUGCGUUCAGCACAAAUGCCAAACAGUUCUACAUCUUGUAUCCCAAAAGCUGAGUGAUGGCACCGUGCAUCACAGAGAGCAACCUUCAUCCUGAAACACUGCACUUCUCACCAGUGAACUCUUUUGGCACAUAACGAUGCAGGUCUUUGAAAUAGCUAUGAGAAGGGUGUGCACAUACAAAUGUGGUAGAAGAAAAAGGAGGGAGCAGGAGUUCCACAGAACUGCUUUUCCAGAGAUCUUAAGCAUCCCAGAGUUCCAUAGGAGCAGAGGAAAGCUGUGACAGCUUGGCAGCACCACAGCCAGUGUGCCUGUAGCUCCACUGCUGCCAGUGCAGCGGCACAGGGCACGCAUAUUCUUCCACUUGCAAUCCACAGAGAGAGGUGUGUGAUACAGAAAGGGGAAUUUGGCUCCAAGGCUCUCAAGCUUCAACGUUAAACAAAAAAAUGAGUCAACUCUGAUUCAGUCCCAACACAGCACCUGGCUCUGAGAGCAUCCACUGCUUGUCCUGAUUCUUCAAACCAUGUGUCCAACAGCUUUACCUACACAGCUACCUCUUUGAUUUGCAGCCUUCUGUAUCCUUGUUGGUUGGUUGGUUUGUGCUUUUAUGUUAUUGUGUGUUUGUUACUUUUUUUUGUCUCCAUAUGUGAAAAUAUUAUAGGUUCUUUUGUAAAUGCAUUCAAAGUGAUUUUCCAGUCACUACAGCUAACUUGUGGUAAUUCUGGCCUUGUAGGCCAAACAUAUGAAAAAGAUUGUUCCAGUAAGGUCUCCAUAAGUUGAUCAAAGCCUGCUGAAAUUGAACAUGUAGAACUGUUUGGUUGGUGACUGAGCUGGAGAAAACUCUCAAAGAAGGCUGCCAUUCCAAUAUACGAAGAACUGUAACAUCUCUUUUUCGGAAGAAAAUGAAGGUAAAUUUCAGAAUGCCAUGUUGUGUAGCAGUUUUUCCAUGACAUACAGCUAUUUUACACUAAAAAUGGGUCCCUUAGUAAUAAUUUAUGGAAUCAGAUUGAAGCACCAGGACUGACAGAUGCAACGUGAAGAGGAGGGCUGAGCAGUGCAAGGUUUAAUGCGGUCACUUCACUACGUUUCACUCAGGGUGUAAAUAUUAAAACCACCUGAGUAGUUAAUAAACUGUGGUGUUGCAUUUUCAGUAGCUAGAAGUGUUAUUAUUCUGCUAUUUCUAUAGAUAAAAUGGACCACGCAGGGAAAAAAACCCAAAAUUGUUGUCAAGGUGUAGUUUCAAUGGAUGUUGUUGAAAGUGGGAUUUUUAUUUUGGAUAUGACUGCUGUUUAUGAUACCCACAGAUAAUUCAAUAGGAGAGGAGAAAAAAGUUGGUAGUCUUGCUUGUCCAAAACCUCCCUCUUUGGUUCCCACAGGCAUAUGCAGUUGGCCUACAGCUAAGUCUGUUGGGCAUGGCAGUUUCUUGGAAUAUUUGAUGUGGGUUUGUGGUAACUGCAGUAGAAAAUUUAAUUAAGAGGCAUAAACUCUACAAAUGGGUUCAAUAUGCCUACUGAUCUUUCUCUUUUAUUCUUUUCACUUUUCUAUCAAACUCUAUUUUUUCCAAGGAUUAUAAUUAAAAUGUUAAAAUAUUGGGAAUUAUUUUGUCACUAUCUGUUUUGUACCCUAUAUCUUAGUUUCAUCUUGUAGCAAUAUUGUUUAUCUGCUAUGCAUAAGUAUUUAUAAAACGUCUUACACAAUUUUUGUAACUACUGUAGAAAGAAUCAAUGUUUUGUUACAUUAAAUAUAGGAUUAGUAUUGCAACUAUUCCCUUAAUAAUGAAAAGUUGCUGCUCUUCCUUUAAAACACUCUAGCACUCUGGAAUAUGUUUCAGUAAGUUGCUCUGUGUCUCAGAAAUUAAUAAUUUCAGCCUUUACUUUAAGUCAUCCUCUACCUGUGUCACUGGAUCAUACAUGUACAAUUCUCUUAGCUUUGUUUAGAGAAAUACUUUUGACAAAAUAGAUCCCAUUUUGUGAGCGUGUUAAUGAGAGAAGGAGCAAUUUCUACUGCCGAAAGGCUGGAUUAGAGUUUUAGCCUCAGCAGAAGGCUUGGUUAUCUACAGAAAGGUCAUUCAGUUUCUGUCACAGAUUAGACUGCUUCCAAUAGCUGUCAUAUAUAUUACUUUUUCCACUUACAUCUGUGUAAGCAAGUAGAAGGAAGAUGCACAAGACUUACUGUGUUAUCAAACCAGUCUCCAUUAGAGAGUAGGAGACCUCCACUAGGGAGAGUCUAGCAAUUUUUGACUGUUAAACUCAUCUUCCUUCACCAGAGAAUUCAUGCAGAGUAUAUUUCUGCUGUUAGAAUACGUUCCUGUUGCAAAUGAUAAAUCCCUGAGAGAAAAGUUUGUCAUGGAAACACUGACUGCUCCUUAAAUGACUAUGAAACAAGAAUGCUAGGCGAUGCUUAUGGAAAACAAGAGCAUAUUUCACAAUCAGAUCUACCAAUCCUACCUUUAUAUGGACAAGAGGAAAUUAAUGGUUCAACUUCAACCCAAAGGCCAUGCUGGCUGUAGUGCACCAAUCACAAAGUUGGUCCAAGAGUUUAGUUAUAUCCAGCUUUCCAAGAUCUUACAAUCUAACUAGUAUCAGGCAGCCAGGGGAAUCAUGGAAAGAAAAACAGUACCAUAGGAUGUGGUACUUGUGAUUCAGCAGAUGACAUUCUUCACCCUGAGUCAGUCAUGCAACAACAGCCAGCUUCCCUGCUGGGCUGCUCUCCUGCAGGUGAGUCCCAGUACUGAGGCUCUGAGAGCUGACUUCUGCAUGCCAUGAAAUGUUGGUUGACAUUUGUCACAAGAAUAGCUGCAUCCGUCUUGGGUUUUGGUUGUAUUACAAACUGGGUAAUCACCUUAACGUCUUGCCUGCUCUAAUUACCCAUGGUUGUUUCUUCUGUGCUUCCUUCCUCUUGCUCUGUGUCAUGCUGCUGGCACAGUUGCAAAAGCUGCUGCAUUUCUAGGGGUGAUGAAUUCUGCUUGAUGGCCAAUGGGAUCUGGCUAGAUUUCAGUGAGUGCUGAGAUGUUUCUUGUGUGUUGUUCCCUUUUAGCUUGUAGCUCUACUGAAACAAAACAAAUUAUUUGCCUUUCAUAUUUUGAAAGCGGUGGAGUUCUUGUCAAAAUAGGGAUACCACUUGCCUGAGGUGCACUGGAGACAUGUGCUGUACCAGUAAAUAAUACAUAGCACCACAGGCAUCCAAGAGCACAAAGUACAGUAGGGUUCCACUCCCAUGUAGUUGGCUGGAGUCAGUUAUUAUAGUUUAUUUCUAGCAUAUACUUGAAGCACUACCAGCUAAUUGUUAGCCGUGUGUGUCUACCUCAGGAACACUCAGCACAUGAUCACAAAGAAUGAGCACUUCACUCUUUGCAGCUUAUUUUUUAAAUAAGGCUUUUUGUAAACAUGGAAAAAUAAGCAUUGCAAUUAAUGCUAAGGACCAAAGUUUGCUAGGUAAUAAAAGCCCAAAUAAACAUAGUUCUGCUGAACAUAAGUUGAUUUUUUAUCUAGAAGGCUGUAAUAAUAACUGAUUUAUUUUCAGUGGAAACUACUUAAUCAAGUGUAAAUUUUCAAAUGACUCUGAGGCUCAGAAAAUAUACAACAAUAUCUGUUUUCAGUUGAUUUUUAUGGUGACAUAGUGGAAAAUCUGAUAGAACUUCAGCCACUGCCUUGCUAUCAAAUGCUGCUGCAAUCCCAAAUGAACACAACUUGUUAUCUGCUUGCUCAGCUGCUUGCUUUGCUUUCACUGUGAUGUGGAAAAAUGUUGGUUCUUUGGUAAUUUUAUUAAUUUUACUGCCUGAGAAUGGUUCUUUUGAAAUUAUUCUUCUAAUCAAAACAUGUAGCAGAAAACAUUCUUUUACUUGCUAGAAACUUGAUCUCGGUAAGUAUUGAGUGUCUUUUUGCUUGGUUCUGUUGGUCUGAAAGAGCUGAGCACUCAAUGACUCACAAGACACGUUGGCACCUGGCAGAGCCGUGCCCUUCAUCAAUCUAUGUGGUGCCUGGUGGUUUCAGUUGGCAAAAAUUUAUGCAAACUGUUGCCUUUUAUUGUAUUGUACAUUCCAGGCGAAAUGGCUUUGCAAGCCUGGAAGCUUGCUUUGAGCUUCAAAUUCAAGUGUUUCUGAAGCAUUAAUGUAAAAAUUUCUCAAGGUAUCACAUGUCUUGACUUUCACAAUGAAAGCAAACAAACGGUAAAUUUCCUAAAAUUUUGGUGAAAGAAAACUAUGCAGUAUCAUUAUGUUUGCAAUUCAGAGCAGAUUCAGAAGCUGUGUCAAUAUUAACGGUCCUUUCGAUACAAAUGCUGUGAGUUAGGAAUCACUUUCUAGAUCCCAAUCACAGCACACUUCAUUGAAACCCUGAAACAAGCAAUAUCAAUAUGGUCACAGUCAAAACUGUUUCACUCAGUUCUGUUAGUAAGGGGCCAGCCUGCAUCUACCUUUUGCCAAAACUCCCACUAAAGUCAACGGAACUUUGGAGCACUCAGCAAGCAUGUCAUCUUACUUCAAUUCCUCAGUUAUUCUUUGAUCAUUUACCGAUUCUCAAUGCUGGUACCUGUGCAUUUAUGCAGGUCCUUUUAACCACUUCAUCCAAACUGGCAACUUAUCCUUUCACAACUACGAGUGUACUAUGAGUACAGGAGUACUGUCUUAAGCACUCCUUUUGUGCAAAGACUGUAAGUGAAUGCACAUGAAACUAUAUCUCAAGGCAAGAACUUAAGCCUUAAGAAUGUCGUUUUAAAAUGGGCCAUGAGUUCCAUUUUAGGUAUGAUUUUCUGGAGCUAAGGACUGUCUGCAUUGCAGAGCUGAUUUCAGUUAUCUUUUUAUAGUCUACUAUAAACCUAAAUAUACAUUACAUCCUGACAUUAUGCAUAGUGGUACUUUUAACUUGAGAUAUUGAUCCAUAUUGCCAGAGGGGCUAAUCCAAGCUUCGGUUAACACAGCUCAUUAGUUAUUAACAGGACUCACGCUGCCUCCUUUUCCUUGCUGCUAUUCCUUUGCUGUCUUCCCAAAACUUCUCUCUUGCACAAAAAGGCAGGGAAGUUUUCUCUCAAUUUGCACAGAAGCAUUUCAGACCUACAAGUUGUAUGUCCAAAGACUGAGAGCAUGUCCUGUGGCCCCACAGGGCUUCACACCAUGCACAGAUGGCUUCAAUCCAAAGAAAGCAAUUCAGGUGGCACUUCAAAGGGUGACCAGUACUGGAUGUAAGCACGAGGAUAACCUGAGCUUAGAUAACGUAAUAACAAAGUCAAGUUAUUCUCCCAUGUUCUUCAAAGUGUACUGAAAUGUCAGUGAGACUUAAUCCUUUUGUGCUCUUCAGCACCCGUAAAAAUCAGACCACAGCUCUUUCUGUGCUGAAGCAAAAUUCAAAUUUUUCAACAGCAACCUCCAAGUGAGGAACAAACACAGGGAAUGUUGUAUCCUGGGACCUCAUCUACAGGUUGCAUAUUAAACAGUUUCUAAAUGAAAAGGUGGCUCACUGUGCUAUAAACUAAAGUCAUCAUUUUGAGACCUACAGCCCACCGGAACGAGGGGACAGGAUGGAGUGGCCUUUUCCAGUAUUCUCCACCCACUGACCUAGAGUAUGAAACCCACAGAGUUCUUGGAACUGCAAACAGUGUUUGAAUUCAGACUAAAACUGGAAAACAGAAACAGGCCUUUUUUUUUUUUUUAACUUCUUCUUCUUCUUCUUCUUCUUCUUCUUUCUUUUUUUUUCUUUUUUUUUUUUAGUCACAUCAGUCAAUGCUAUUUACAAAAUUGGUUUAUGGAGACCACAGGUGGACACUCUGACUCAUUACACAUGAAUACUAAAUAUAUCCGAGACGAUCUUGGAAAAUCCCAUAAAGAAAGAGGGAAUAGCCAUCUGAUUUUUAUAUUUAUAACCUUGGGUUUUGGAUGCCAGUAAUGGAAAUUACAUUGUUUUCACAAAAAGCAGGUGAGGGACAGUAAGGGACUGAAUGAUUGCCAGGCUGCGUGUGGCUGGAAGGAGAAGGCCCUAAGCGAGGAGCUAAGUCACAGAGGAAGGUUUGUCAUGCUGUAGUAGUUUGCCAUUCGCACUUGCGGCAGGCUGUGGUGAGGUUAGCAAUGCAUUCCACAGUUGUUAGGAGUUAAGCAAAUGUUGUGUCUUUUAGCCAGAGAGAAAAGCACACCUGCCCAUGGAGCUGGCAUAAAAUUCAUUACUGCCCUCGUCCUACAUGGAGAAUUUGAGUAGUACUGUCAGCCUCAUAUCCUGCCACACAUUUCAGUCUCUCUGAUCUUGAAAACCAGGAAGGUCCAAGGUCUGUAAUAUAUGCAGGGAAGCAGAUAAUGGAUCCCUUUCUGUUUAUCUGACUUCUGUUUUGAUGGAUGUUUUAGUGCCAAAGCUUCUCUUAUUCUCGCUGCUGGAGGAGAGCUAUUGCUAGACUUCUUUCCAUCCAUAGGCUGGCUUUGUGAAAUGCAACAGGAUGAAACUAAAACAAGACAUAGCAUUUCUAGCCUGGAAGCUUAAUUCAUACGUAAGCUGAGAAACAGUGCAUGUAAGGAGGAACUAACUGAGGAAUGAGUUCGUUAUUCUAAUCUAGCCGGUUUCCUGAAUGACCACUAAAGUAAAUAAACUAGAUGCCAAAAUGCAUUUGUUUUUACUUAUAGAUCACCCAAAAGUAUACUGUGGGUUUUUGAUGUUUCUUAUUACCAAGAUCCUGAGCCAAAUCCUUCAUAGACAUUGCAGAGCAGCUCCUCACUACUCCAGUCUUCAAAACAGCCCCAAGAAAGAAUUUCUCUGCCGCUACUGCCUUGUUGAGAGCAGCAGUGAGUGGGUGGCCACAAACAUGUGCACAAUAAGAAAAUAUCUAUGCAGACUCAAGUUAGCUAAUCAUAAUUUUUGUAUUCAAAGCUGUAUAGCAGAUAAAUAUCAAUGGUCUUCCUACUGAGAUUUGGCUCAGCUAGCUGGUCCUUUAUCAAAUUGCGCACUGCUUCAGAGAAGUCACUCUUCUGUGUCCUGAAUGACUAGAAUUUAGGAAAUAGAGAUGGAAAUACCCAGCUAGCAUAUCUGGCUUGCUGUAGUCAGUUCCUAAUGAGCUCUGCAUUUAUCCUCUGUCUCUGUAAUGGUCCUUGCAGCCUGCAACUACAGUACUCGUACUGAAAGUUUCUGCUUCUUGACUUCUUCUCAAAGGAGUUAAUUCUUCAGCAUUUUAUGCUUGUUUUUCAUCCAUUAGUACUAUCUACUUCAAUAGGCUUAAAAUAAAAUAUAUUUUUUUAAAUACUCAUGAUGUUGUUGUUUUCUGUUGAAUUUAAUUCAUCACCAGACACAAACAGCACAGCACAAAUGGAAAAGUUUAUUGCAAAACCAGAGGAAUGGCAAAGUAGUAUCCUUUUUUUUUUUUUUCUUUUCUUUCUUUUUUUUUUUUUUUCUUUUUUCCCUAGAAGAAUGAGUUUCUCUGUUUCAGCCUUAGGGGCCAGUAAUUUCUAGCAGCCCUCUGUCUGCAAAUCUUAUUUCUGCAUUGAUCAUCAUAGUCACAUGAAAUUAUUUAAUAAGUAUCUUAUUGCCAAGGUCACAUGAAAUUAGUUAACAAAAACUUAGAAGUGAAUUUAAGCCAGCUCAUCUCUCACUGAAACAUUCUUUUGGCUUAAAAGAACCUGCUGAGUUGUAAAAAUGAGUAGCAUUGGGCAUUUUCCCAAUAAUAAGAUAGCAAUAACAGGGAAGAAUGCUUGGCUAUGUUGUAGAGUAAAUUAACAAUGCAUCCAUGAAUUUUAUAUGUUUGUAUUCUUAGGCAAUUAAUAAUAAUUUAGAUCUGUGGCUAGUUUUAAGUUACUCUGUGCAGGGAAAUCACACAGGUGGUCUGCAGCCUUCUGUUAAGCCUUUCAAAGAGCUCCCCAACAAAAGUAAAGGGAAAUGUAAAUUUUUUUGUGAAGGAAGGUGGAAAGAAAACUUUCAGCGGGUAAGGGAUAAUUUUGUUAACCCAUGUUUCAUUUAAAGCUUUGCAAUGGGUCUUCAUUUCAAUCCAGCUCCAUUCUGGGCAAGCUUUGGUCCGUAUCGCACGUAGGCAGCACUAUCGAAGAUUCACUCACUUUCAUGAGGCAAAAAGACCAAAAAAGUUUGAGUGUUUUGAUGGUAAACACCUGAAAGCUAAGCUCUUCUUCCCUAACUGCAAUAUUCCAACUGUAGUUCUCGCAGCUGUCUCUCUGGUCUCACAGAUCUCAAAUUCAGGUUGCAGAGCGUCGUUGUGUCAACAAGAAGGAAAAAGGUGCUACUUACUCAUUGUGUCCCAUGACUCCACGGCUAUGCUCUCUCCUGAGAAGCAAGAGCCAUAGAUUCAAGCUCUGUCAGAAGGACUAUAAGUCAACUCUUCUACUUGGGCAAGGAAAUCUUCCGGUUGUUUCACAACUCACUUCUUCCUGCUGUCUUUAAAUGAAGGUAGCUGUGAAUGCAGCUCUCGGUGCACUCCACUUGUGUGUGAGCACAUCUAGCAAAUCCAUACAUUUAUGGCUGCAGUUGUCUUUUCUAUAGAUCCCAAACAGCCUUAGGCAGAAGAAGGGCUUCUGAACACAGAUCUCAGCCUUAGUAGUGGUCUUUGUGAGUAAAAGCAGUAACUGGACUUGCCCAGCCAAUUACAAGUGCAUGUAUGAAUUAAAUACAGCUUUCCUAAAUCACCAGGAGUCAAAAUUUUGCAUUUUGUUCCUUUUUAGGUACUCGUCUUCUUUAUUGCAAAGAUUUUUGUUAUUGAAUUUGUUCUUAGACAUUAAAAAAAAAAGCAGAACUAUUUUGUAAGACUUCUGAGACCCAGAGUUCAACUAAAUGAAUAAGAAACACUGUAUUUCAAUAAAAUAGAGCUGAGGCUUUUUCAAGAGGUUAUUUUGUCUGCUCAUGUCUUAGAGGCAGCUGCUCUAUCAUUGCCCUGACUGCUCUGCAUCCUUCAAAUGACGCUGUGUGUCAGCUAAAUUAUUAAACAAAAAAGUAGAUUCUUUAGCAGUCGGUGUAAAGUUGGACUCUACAGAGUGUUUUAAACAAAGUUGAGACACCACAAAACUUCAGGUCAGUACGAAUUGUUCUCUGUGCUGCUUCCACUAAGGAAAAACACACCAAGUAUUUCCUUUGCUGAACACAAACAUUCUUCUCACAUUUGCUACAAGAGUUUUCGGUUUUUAUCAAAGGCUUUACUUUUUAAACCAUGACAAUUUCUUGCUAGACACAGUGUAUGUGAGCCUGUGUAUGUGUUUGUAAUUUUAAAAUAACUAUAUUACACUUUCAAUCCUUUAAAAUUUA